ACUCCUGCAGAUCUGUUGCCACUUUUAAAGCAGCUGCAUUUUGUUCUUGUGUGAGUGUGUCCAAGUAUGCCCACCAGCGCAGUUUCUGGAGUGCUUCCAUCAGGAGCUUGUGAGCCCGUAUGCUCCUGUUGUAGUGAUGGCCGGAGAUCACUCCAUCAAUUGAGCCUGCGGCCACCAGGUCAGACUCAAUCAAGAUGUCCUGAAAGCCAGCAUCACCAUACAACUUUCCUAUGCAUGACAGAUAUGCCAUUGCUGUGUGGAACUCUCCCAUCCUCACUACAAUUCUCUCGGAGUAAGAAUUUGUUUGCCAACGGAUCUCUUGGGCCUUGGCAUAUAUGGCUUGAUCCAUAACCAAAACAACUUCUCGUUGUUCCAAAGUGUCAGCAAUGGCAAUGGAGCGGCUCAGGAUGGUGUGGACAGUGUUGAGAUCAGUCGGGCUGGCGUCAAUCACUGGUAGGUAGCCAACGUGUGUAGAUGGUAGGACGGUCUCUUCCUUCAACAUGACAUUAAACCCUGUCCAUCCAGGAAGGACUUUGCCCUGGGCCUCAGGUACUUUCAGUAAAAAGAAUGCAGCAUCAAUUCUUCUACUGGUAGUUUGAGCAUAUCUGUAUUGGUCCUGCUGGAGAUCUAUCUUCAAGGCAAAGUUCUGUGGACCAGACCGCUUUCCUCUUGUGUAGGUUGCCAGAUUCAGUGGAGGAGGAUGAACAGACCGCUCUCGUGUUCUCUGUCUGGGUAAUGUGUCUGGUGAGCAAGGGCAGUAUCAUGCUCAAGGACCUGGGUAUUGGAUGAGCAGUGACCCAGACCAUUUAACAACCCUAUAAGCUGUGCCGAGCCAGUCAUAUGCCGAACUGCCAUUGCAAAUGAGGAGGAAGCAGAGGAGACAGCAAC